CGGGCUGGUCGAAAGCCCCUGGUCCACCGAACAGCGGGGAAUUUCCCC
ncrna:unclassified sequences DTF3800-XI RNA